GGGAAGGUUCCAGAGCGGCCAAAUGGAGCAGACUGUAAAUCUGCCGUCGAUGACUUCGGUGGUUCGAAUCCACCCCUUCCCACCA
rnacentral:tRNA from 1 species